UUACUACUCCCUCCGUCCCAAAAUUCUUGUCUUAGAUUUGUCUAGAUACGGAUGUACCUAAUACUAAAAUGUGACUUGAUACAUCCGUAUUUAGACAAAUCUAAGACAAGAAUUUUGGGACGGAGGGAGUACUAC
rnacentral:pre_miRNA from 1 species